rnacentral:rRNA from 1 species
UACGUAGGUGGCAAGCGUUGUCCGGAUUUACUGGGCGUAAAGAGCGCGCAGGCGGCCAGGUCAGUCGAAUGUGAAAGCCCCCGGCUCAACUGGGGAGGGUCAUUCGAUACUGCCUGGCUUGAAGAUAGGAGAGGGAAGCGGAAUUUCAGGUGUAGUGGUGAAAUGCGUAGAUAUCUGAAGGAACACCAGUGGCGAAGGCGGCUUUCUGGCCUAUUCUUGACGCUGAGGCGAGAAAGCUAGGGGAGCGAACGGG